rnacentral:misc_RNA from 1 species
GAGAAAAGCUCAAUGGGCUAUUACAUGAUAUAUCUUGCUAGAGGCCCAUUACAAGUAAGACCAACCCCUCCCAACUAACCAAACCCAAUGGUAGCCCAAAUUGAGAACCCUAAAGAGGCCCUAUGCGCAUUGUCAAUGCCAUCUCUUAUCCACCACGCUGCCUGAAGCCAAGAGAAGCCCAACCUCAUGGCCAGUAGAAUGUCCUCCUCCAGGUACAAGAAAACAAGGACAUUUGGAGGCCAUGAAGGAGAGAGAUGACAAAGCUCUGGCCUCUCAAUCUUUUAUAUCCUUUGGGUUAUUGACGAGCUCCAACCAACCCGGUGCCAGACCCUUGCAUGGGAGGGACAGAGAAAAUCGAUGAGCAGCAAAUCCUUCGACUAAUCUGAAGAGCGCGACCUCAACCAACCAGAUUCAAGAUGCUCUUGGGUGUUCUCUAGAAUUUCUUUUGUGUAGAAUCAUCAUAGAUUGGCGAUGGUACAGUAUUAGCUACAUUGGGAU